rnacentral:rRNA from 1 species
ACGUGAGCAACCUGCCCUUCACUCUGGGAUAAGCCCUGGAAACGGGGUCUAAUACCGGAUAUGACAUUCCUGCGCAUGUGGGGGUGUGGAAAGAUUUAUCGGUGGGGGAUGGGCUCGCGGCCUAUCAGCUUGUUGGUGGGGUGAUGGCCUACCAAGGCGACGACGGGUAGCCGGCCUGAGAGGGCGACCGGCCACACUGGGACUGAGACACGGCCCAGACUCCUACGGGAGGCAGCAGUGGGGAAUAUUGCACAAUGGGCGCAAGCCUGAUGCAGCGACGCCGCGUGAGGGAUGACGGCCUUCGGGUUGUAAACCUCUUUCAGCAGGGAAGAAGCGCAAGUGACGGUACCUGCAGAAGAAGCGCCGGCUAACUACGUGCCAGCAGCCGCGGUGAUACGUAGGGCGCAAGCGUUGUCCGGAAUUAUUGGGCGUAAAGAGCUCGUAGGCGGUUAGUCGCGUCUGCUGUGAAAACUCGAGGCUCAACCUCGGGCUUGCAGUGGGUACGGGCUGACUAGAGUGCGGUAGGGGUGACUGGAAUUCCUGGUGUAGCGGUGGAAUGCGCAGAUAUCAGGAGGAACACCGAUGGCGAAGGCAGGUCACUGGGCCGCAACUGACGCUGAGGAGCGAAAGCAUGGGGAGCGAACAGGAUUAGAUACCCUGGUAGUCCAUGCCGUAAACGUUGGGCACUAGGUGUGGGACCCAUUCCACGGGUUCCGUGCCGCAGCUAACGCAUUAAGUGCCCCGCCUGGGGAGUACGGCCGCAAGGCUAAAACUCAAAGAAAUUGACGGGGGCCCGCACAAGCGGCGGAGCAUGCGGAUUAAUUCGAUGCAACGCGAAGAACCUUACCAAGGCUUGACAUACACCGGAAAAGUGCAGAGAUGUGCUCCCCGUAAGGUCGGUGUACAGGUGGUGCAUGGUUNGUCGUCAGCUCGUGUCGUGAGAUGUUGGGUUAAGUCCCGCAACGAGCGCAACCCUCGUCCCAUGUUGCCAGCGGGUUAUGCCGGGGACUCAUGGGAGACUGCCGGGGUCAACUCGGAGGAAGGUGGGGAUGACGUCAAAUCAUCAUGCCCCUUAUGUCUUGGGCUUCACGCAUGCUACAAUGGCCGGUACAAAGGGCUGCGAUACCGUAAGGUGGAGCGAAUCCCAAAAAGCCGGUCUCAGUUCGGAUUGGGGUCUGCAACUCGACCCCAUGAAGUCGGAGUCGCUAGUAAUCGCAGAUCAGCAACGCUGCGGUGAAUACGUUCCCGGGCCUUGUACACACCGCCCGUCAAGUCACGAAAGUCGGUAACACCCGAAGCC